UUAGAAGAUAAAAUGAGUCAUUGUUCAACUGGUUCGGUCCGGUUAAAUAAAAACUAAUUUUAUUAUUAUUUGAAAAUAAUUAAAAAUCUUGCCUUUUUUCUUUUCUCACUCUGAGUGUUCACACUGUAAGUUGAUCUUCAUCUUGAAACUUUGAAUCGCGUAAUGAUGAUCAAGCAAGUUAAGUAGCCUAGCUUACUACUACUACUACUCCACCGGAGAGAUCUGGCCCUCCGUCUCAUUAACGAUGAUCACCGACGCCGUGAAUCCUCUCUCCGCAUCCGACCACAAAAGGUAUCGCCUUUUGUAUCUUCUCCUUCAUUGAUGAUAUAUCAUCUAAUGAUUAGUUAUCUCUGUGGUGCCAAGCCAUCAACUUUUUAAUGUCUCAAUGGAUUGUUGUAAUAAAAGCUGCUAACGGAGAUUCUUGUCUGAAUUUUCUGUGAGAACAUGUCAAAAUCUACCAGGUUCUUUGAAUAAGGACAAUGCUUGCUCCUUGUAUUUUUUGGUUUGGGGGGGGUAGAUUGAGCAGUUAGAGCAAGGGGUGAGAGAGCUUCGAAAGCUUGUUUCUGAUAAGAAGGAUCAAGAAGCUGCUAUGAUACAGGUGUUGAUGGGGAUCGAGCAAGAACAUAAGGUAACGGAAGAUGCACGGAGAGCUGCUGAGCAGGAUGCAGCAGCCCAGAGACAUGCUGCCCAAGUGCUUCAGGACAAAUAUGAGGAAGCUGUUGCUGGGCUUGCUUAGAUGGAGGAGAGGGCAGUAAUGGCAGAGUCAAUGUUGGAGGCGACUUUGCAGUAUCAUAAAGCACAACCGUGGUGAAGAUAUGAAAUAAACAUACAGAUCGUCAUUAUCGAUCCAUCAUCAACUAAACAUAAGCUCUUUAUGCUUCUCUUACUGCUUUUAUUUAUGGGAAUAAUGUUUGGGGUUUCCUAGCUCUUGCCCUUACAAAAGAACAUAAUAAAAACAUAUUAUUUAGAUA